AACCCAUGCAUAGGACAUUUUCGCAUCAAAGCCUUGAAUCCUUCCCAUGCUUCAUACAAGGUUUCAUCCUCCAUUUACUUGAAUGAAGGUAAACCAUUUAAAGUAU